GCCACUCCUAAGGAGAGUAGCAGCAGUGCUGAACUUUCUCCAUUUAUAGACAAUUUGUCUUACCGUGGACUGAUGAACAGCAAGGCUUUUGGAGAUACUUUUUAUAACCCUUUCCAGCUUUAUGCAAGUCAACAAUUCUUAAUCGUAGGUCUUCUGAGAGCUCUUUUGUGUGAGGCAUCAUUCACAUCAGGCAAUGCUUCUUGUGAAAAGCAAAC